AGGGUGCAGGGCGGAUGCCUUGGCACUAGGAGCCGAUGAAGGACGUGAUAAGCUGCGAUAAGCUUCGGGGAGUUGCACGUAAACUUUGAUCCGAAGAUUUCCGAAUGAGGAAACUCACUUAGAGUAAUGUCUAAGUAUCAUUAAGUGAAUACAUAGCUUAAUGAGGGGAACUCAGGGAACUGAAACAUCUAAGUACCUGAAGGAAGAGAAAGAAAUUCGAUUCCGUAAGUAGCGGCGAGCGAACGCGGAUUAGCCCAAACCAAUAAAGUUUUCUUUAUUGGGGUUGCGGACAUAUCAUAACGAAGAGGUAUCGUAAUUGAAGAGGUUUGGAAAGACCCACCACAGAAGGUAAUAGUCCUGUAUGUUAAACGAGAAGACUUUAGAUAUGAUCCAGAGUACCACGGGACACGUGAAACCCUGUGGGAAGCAGGAGGGACCACCCUCCAAGGCUAAAUACUACCUAGUGACCGAUAGCGUAUAGUACCGUGAGGGAAAGGUGAAAAGAACCCCGGGAGGGGAGUGAAAUAGAACCUGAAACCCUGCACUUACAAGCUGUGGAAGCACAUUUCUUGUGUGACCGCGUACUUUUUGUAGAACGGGCCAACGAGUUACGUUAAGUAGCAAGGUUAAGCACUUAAGGUGCGGAGCCGUAGCGAAAGCGAGUUUUAACUGAGCGUUCAGUUACUUGACGUAGACCCGAAACCGGGCGACCUACCCAUGAGCAGGAUGAAGCGAAAGUAAAAUUUCGUGGAGGUCCGAACCCACGAGCGUUGAAAAGCUCGGGGAUGACUUGUGGGUAGCGGUGAAAUUCCAAUCGAGCCCGGAGAUAGCUGGUUCUCCCCGAAAUAGCUUUAGGGCUAGCCUCAAGGUGAGAGAUACGGAGGUAGAGCACUGAAUGUCCUAGGGGGUAUUGCACCUACCGAAGACUAUCAAACUCCGAAUGCCGUCAUCUUAUACUUGGGAGUCAGACUGUGGGUGAUAAGAUUCAUAGUCGAAAGGGCAACAGCCCAGAUCGUCAGCUAAGGUCCCUAAAUGUAAGUUAAGUGGUAAAGGAUGUGGGAUUGCACAGACAACCAGGAUGUUGGCUUAGAAGCAGCCACUCAUUCAAAGAGUGCGUAAUAGCUCACUGGUCGAGUGAUCCUGCGCCGAAGAUUUCCGGGGCUAAAACUUACUACCGAAGCUACGGCAUCAGUAAUGAUGGGUAGGGGAGCUUCCCAUACGGGUUGAAGCAUGACCGUAAGGACAUGUGGACAGUAUGGGAGUGAGAAUGUUGGCAUGAGUAGCGAGAUGUGGGUGGGAAUCCCACAGGCCGUAAACCCAAGGUUUCCAGGGGAAGGUUCGUCCGCCCUGGGUUAGUCGGGACCUAAGCUGAGGCCGAAAGGCGUAGGUGAUGGACAACAGGUUGAUAUUCCUGUACUACCGAUAACCGUUUGAGAGAAGGGAUGACACAGUAGGAUAAGCUAAGCACACUGUUGGUUAUGUGUGCCCAAGCAUUGAGGCAGUCAAAGUAGGCAAAUCCGCUUUGAUAAUGCUGGGAUGUGAUGGGGAGCGAAAUUUAGUAGCGAAGUAGCUGAUUUCACACUGUCAAGAAAAGUCUCUAUCGAGGUUAAAGGUACCCGUACCGCAAACCGACACAGGUGGGUGAGGAGAGUAUCCUAAGGCCAGCGAGAGAACUGUUGUUAAGGAACUCGGCAAAAUGACCCCGUAACUUAGGGAUAAGGGGUGCCACCAUCAGGUGGCCGCAGAGAAUAGGCCCAAGCGACUGUUUACCAAAAACAUAGGUUUCUGCUAAGUCGCAAGACGAUGUAUAGGAGCUGACGCCUGCCCGGUGCUGGAAGGUUAAGGGGAUCUGUUAGAGCAAUCGAAGCAGUGAACUUAAGCCCCAGUAAACGGCGGCCGUAACUAUAACGGUCCUAAGGUAGCGAAAUUCCUUGUCGGGUAAGUUCCGACCCGCACGAAAGGCGUAACGAUUUGGGCACUGUCUCAACAACAGACUCGGUGAAAUUGUAAUUCCGGUGAAGAUGCCGGAUACCUGCGACAGGACGGAAAGACCCCAUGGAGCUUUACUGUAGCUUGACAUUGGGUCUUGGUACUACAUGUACAGGAUAGGUGGGAGGCUUUGAAACCAGGACGCCAGUUUUGGCGGAGCCAUCCUUGGGAUACCACCCUUGUAGUACUGGGACUCUAACCAUAGGCCAUGAAUCUGGUCUUGGGACACUGUCAGGUGGGCAGUUUGACUGGGGCGGUCGCCUCCCAAAAGGUAACGGAGGCGCUCAAAGGUUCUCUCAGUACGGUCGGAAAUCGUACGUAGAGUGUAAAGGCAAAAGAGAGCUUGAUUGCAAGACAUACAGGUCGAGCAAGGAUGAA
rnacentral:rRNA from 1 species